GUCUCUUGCAAACUUGGUAUUACUGUUUUUCUGGUACCCCAUACCCCCGCGCAAGCAAGCACACACACACACACACACACACACACACACACACACACACACACACACACACACACACACACACACACACACACACACACACACACACACACACACACACACACACACACACACACACACACACACACACACACACACACACACACACACACACACACACACACCACGCACACACGCACGUUCACACACUCUUUUCAGCACCCGCUUCCGGCCCCGCGACCAUGGACUAUUUUUCUGAAGAGUACGAGGCUGUGUUCCGGUCUCUGCUCCGGUUGCGCCAGUCUGAGUACUUGGUUGACGAUGGACGUGCCAGCAAGGAGCUCGUGUUCAACCCUGACGCGGUCAUCGCCCACUGCUUCAAGCAGUUCAAGCAGGAGGACUUCCACCUGCCUCAGAGCCGCCGGAGGAUCAUCUUCUUGCCUCGAAAGGAGGCUCUGAUGCCCGUCAAUCCCACCCCCCACCCCCAGGCUCCCCCCGAGCCCACCCCCAGCUCCAAAGCCCUGGAAGUUGGGGACAUCCAAGAACAGCCAGAGGACCCAAGGGCCUGGCUGACCCAGAGGCUGAGGGUUCAGCAGGACCUGGAGUCAUUUGGCAGCAUAGAGAGGUGGCUGCGGAACAAGUCCAGACUCACGCCUUCGGAGGCCAAGGUCCUACACGAGAGCCAGAAGGAGCACGAGGCCCGGCUGAUGGGCCAGCUGGCCACUCCCAGAGACACCGAGAAGAAAAGCCCGCGACCCCUCCACCGGCAGGUGCCCCCGCUACCACUGCCCAAACCCUCUGCCCUGUCGGCCUUGUACUCUUACCUGUGCAGCCACAAGAUCAAGAUCCAGGAGAUAUUUCACAAGGUGGAGCAGGGCAAGAACCAGAGGAUCUCCAGGGAGGAGUUCAUCACGGCUCUGAAGGCGGUUGGAGUCCCUCUGAAAAGCCAGGAGGUGGAGGACAUCGUGAUGUAUCUCAGCUCUCUGGGAAAGCACAAGAGCAUCACCGUGGAUAACCUGGCCAGCACCUGCGAGCAGUGGUCUUCGGCUCAGCAGAAAAGCACCCUGGCAACUGCAACAGAGUACUAUAGAUCUGCCAAGGACAGUGGUUCCCCACAGAGUCCAUCCAAGAAGCAGCAGGAGAAUUUAGCCCCAGAGCCUCUCAAGAUGGACCUGCUGACCGUGCCCGUGGUCGACACCGACAUGGAGGCCCAGCCUAUGACCCUGGAGGAGAUGGACGAUGUGGGCAAGCGGUACCGCGAGAAGAAGCGGCAGAGCAAGCUCACCAUCCCCUCCAUCCAGUACACGGAGCACAGCGGGAACAAGCACUUUGAUGAGCACUGCCUCCCGUCCACCAUCCACGGGGAGAUGGAGGCGCUGAUCAACAGGUCACGCACGAGCACCUUUCUGGUCUACCUGCAGUGCUGGAAGCUCUGCAAAUCCUACAGCCUCCCGCUGACCGAGGACGUCCUCAUGAGAGCCCUGCUGUACCCGGGGGACAAGAUCAUUUUCCAGAAGGACGAGGUGCGUCCAAUCCGGCAACCGGGAGGCUACUACUCGGACCUGAAGAUCUUCAGUCCGAACCAGGCCCUGCUCCGAUCCCAGGGCGUUUCCAAACCUGUGGCUCAGAAGCCUGACAAGCUGAGUGUCGGCCCCCUCCUCCCCUGCCUGUGCUCCUGUCCCACUGCUGCCCCUUUGCUGGGGGGCUGGGGGUCACGUUGUGCCAGUGUCUGUGUCCUAACCUGGCAUGUCCAACCCAACUGAUCACCAUGGACUGGCCACGUGUCCCCGGGCACGUGUCUCUGCAGCCGCCUUGCCUCGUUCCCACACAGCCACCCUCCUGACCACAUCCUAUGUGACCCCAAGCUCUCUGGAAAAGGUUAAAAAGAGGGACUUCUUAGAGAAAUGGGGGAGGACCCUUCACAAAUUAUGGGCUGGGUGUCAGGGCCCCUGCAAAGGACAGUGAUGGCAGCCCCUUCUCUGUCCUGCCUUCUCUGGCAAAAGGUGGGCUUGCAGCCCCCCAGGAGGAGAACAGAACUCUGCACUGGGGCCUCCCCCUGACCCUCAGAUCCCAAGUCCUCUCUAAGAAAAUGUCCUCCUUUGUCAGGAGGUUGACCCGAGGGCAGGCUAUGAACGAGCAUCAGUGGUGACUGCAGACUGGAGAACGGCAGCAUCCCUGCAGAGUGCGGGAGGAGGGGGCAGCUGACCAGAUACCAUGAGGGGGGGAGGGGCCCAAGACGGAACCACACCGUAGGUCACUGCCAGCUGCCUGCUAGGGUAGUCUGGCCAGAACAGCGGGGGUGGGAUGUAGCAGAGCCGAGUGGAAAUCCAACAGGCCAGCGGUUAAAUGGACAAGCUACCUUACUCACCGAGCCUCAGUAUGUUCAUCUGUAAAAUGGGCACAACAGCUAUACCACACACAGUGAGGACCAAUGAGAAAUGCAAGUAAGCUUCUUAGCAGUUAGCACUCGAGCACUGAUUGUUUUUGUUGUUUUAGCCUGCCCCGUCAUGGCGUUCUCCAGUGCAGGAGUGGGCUAGGUCUGCAGGUGGGGCUGUCCACAGCCCUGGUUGGGAAGAGCUGAGCAUGAGCAGGGCAGGUGGUGGCCUAGAGAGUCCUUUCUGAUCCCCUAGUGACUGCCUUCCAGCCCCUGAGUGGCUGCCACCAGUUCCUGAGCCAUGAACCUAGGGAACCUGAGAAAGUGACUUUUGUCCUGCUUAGGUGGGCCACGGUUAUAAAGGAUAGAUGUCCCCCGGGGCAGGGGUGGACUGGUUUCAUUGGCUUCUUUGAAUGCAUUGUGAAAGAUGCUGGAGCCAGACGCAGGCUUGCUGGGAAAGUGUGCUGCAGUGAUUAGUGAUGUCUGCUGGGAAAGUGUGCUGCGGUGAUUAGUGAUGUCUGCCAGGCCUGAGGUUUGGGGCCUUAGCUUUCACCACCCUUGUCCUCAAGGCUGGAUUCAGCUCUGGAAGGCAAGUGGGAGUCAGGGGCCCCAAAAGGACUCAGAUUACCGAGCAUGUCUCAUAACCAUCUGGGAGGUGUCUGUGCUGGGAAAUGAGAAACCCGAGGCUCCACAAGGGGAGUGACUUGCCCCAAGUCACCCAGCCAGCCAGGCCUUGAGCCCAGGGCUGUCAUCCUGUCUGCCUGACCAAUAGGGGCCCAGAGGUCUAGACACCCCAGCGCACUGUGUGUUCCACUGGAGCAUGGGGGACAGAGUCAGGGCCCCACCCAGGUAGAAGAAGUUCUCCUUUCAGAGCUCUGGUCUGGACUCAGAAGUGGACCCCCUGUCACACUGACCUACUCCCCAAAGCCCCACUGACCUGGAUUUCCUGUCUCCUGAAAAGGUACCUCUCUCUCUCUUCUCCACUAGGAACAUGCUGAAGAAAGUCAAGAAAGUCAGCUUUAAGAAGUUUGAGGAAUUCACCAGGACCCAAAGGUGACGUCCCAUCAGCCUCGCGCGUUACCUUCCCCUCUUUUCCUCAGCGGUGCCUACGGAGGUGGCCGCCAUCUCGUACUC